CAGCAUAUUUCCAAGGACUGUGACUGGUUGCAGCCAAGGAUCCCCAGUCACACACAAGAGUAAUGUGAAGAAACUUUGGCAGCUCAGGUCAACCCAAUACCUGCAGCUACCGCUCACCUUUCAUAUAAUG
ensembl:snoRNA